GGGAGUGUAGCUCAGUGGUAGAGCGCUUGCUUAGCAUGUGUGAGGCCCUGGAUUCAAUCUCCAGUAUCCA
rnacentral:tRNA from 1 species